UACAGAGGAUGCAAGCGUUAUCCGGAAUGAUUGGGCGUAAAGCGUCUGUAGGUGGCUUUUUAAGUCCGCCGUCAAAUCCCAGGGCUCAACUCUGGACAGGCGGUGGAAACUACCAAGCUGGAGUACGGUAGGGGCAGGAGGGAAUUUCCGGUGGAGCGGUGAAAUGCGCAGAUAUCGGGAAGAACACCCGUGGCGAAGGCGGCUCUCUGGGACGGUACUGACGCUGAGACGCGAAAGCGUGGGGAGCGAACAGG
rnacentral:rRNA from 1 species